UACGUAGGUGGCAAGCGUUGUCCGGAAUUAUUGGGCGUAAAGCGCGCGCAGGCGGUCCUUUAAGUCUGAUGUGAAAGCCCACGGCUCAACCGUGGAGGGUCAUUGGAAACUGGGGGACUUGAGUGCAGGAGAGAAGAGUGGAAUUCCACGUGUAGCGGUGAAAUGCGUAGAGAUGUGGAGGAACACCCGUGGCGAAGGCGGCUCUCUGGGACGGUACUGACGGCUGAGACGCGAAAGCGUGGGGAGCGAACAGG
rnacentral:rRNA from 1 species